UGGAGGAAAGUAGGGGAUCGUAAGACCUUGCGCUUUUGGAGCGGCCGAUGUCUGAUUAGCUAGUUGGUGGGGUAAUGGCCUACCAAAGCUUCGAUCAGUAGCUGGUCUGAGAGGACGGCCAGCCACACUGGGACUGAGACACGGCCCAGACUCCUACGGGAGGUAGCAGUGGGGAAUUUUGGACAAUGGGCGCAAGCCUGAUCCAGCCAUGCCGCGUGAGUGAAGAAGGCCUUCGGGUUGUAAAGCUCUUUCAGCCGGGAAGAAAAGGCUGCGACUAAUAAUCGCAGUUCAUGACGGUACCGGAAGAAGAAGCACCGGCUAACUACGUGCCAGCAGCCGCGGUAAUACGUAGGGUGCGAGCGUUAAUCGGAAUUACUGGGCGUAAAGGGUGCGCAGGCGGUUUUGUAAGUCAGAUGUGA
rnacentral:rRNA from 1 species